CACGUGGGUAACCUGCCCAAGAUAUCGGGAUAACACCUGGAAACAGAUGCUAAUACCGGAUAACAACAGAUUAUGCCUAUCAACUGUUUAAAAGAUGGUUCUGCUAUCACUCUUGGAUGGACCUGCGGUGCAUUAGCUAGUUGGUAGGGUAACGGCCUACCAAGGCGAUGAUGCAUAGCCGAGUUGAGAGACUGAUCGGCCACAUUGGGACUUAGACACGGCCCAAACUCCUACGGGAGGCAGCAGCU
rnacentral:rRNA from 1 species